rnacentral:rRNA from 1 species
AACGAACGCUGGCGGCGCGCCUAAUACAUGCAAGUCGAGCGAGAAGGUGUAGCAAUACACUUGUAAAGCGGCGAACGGGUGAGGAAUACAUGGGUAAUCUACCAUCGAGUGGGGAAUAACCAACCGAAAGGUUGGCUAAUACCGCGUACGCCUCCGAGUCUUCGGGUUCGGAGGGAAAGCUGCACUGUGAGUGUAGCGCUCUUUGAUGAGCUCAUGUCCUAUCAGCUUGUUGGUAGGGUAACGGCCUACCAAGGCUUUGACGGGUAGCUGGUCUGAGAGGACGAUCAGCCACACUGGCACUGCGACACGGGCCAGACUCCUACGGGAGGCAGCAGUAAGGAAUAUUGCGCAAUGGGCGAAAGCCUGACGCAGCGACGCCGCGUGGGGGAUGAAGGUCUUCGGAUUGUAAACCCCUUUCGGAGGGAAGAUGGAACGAGCAAUCGUUCGGACGGUACCUCCAGAAGCAGCCACGGCCAACUUCGUGCCAGCAG